GCCUAAAGCGUCCGUAGCCGGCUCUGUAAGUUUUCGGUUAAAUCCAUAUGCUCAACGUAUGGGCCGCCGGGAAUACUGCAUAGCUAGGGAGUGGGAGAGGUAGACGGUACUCCGUAGGAAGGGGUAAAAUCCUUUGAUCUAUGGAUGACCACCUGUGGCGAAGGCGGUCUACCAGAACACGUUCGACGGUGAGGGAUGAAAGCUGGGGGAGCAAACCGGAUUAGAUACCCGGGUAGUCCCAGCUGUAAACUAUGCAAACUCAGUGAUGCAUUGGCUUGUGGCCAGUGCAGUGCCGCAGAGAAGUCGUUAAGUUUGCCGCCUGGGAAGUACGUACGCAAGUAUGAAACUUAAAGGAAUUGGCGGGGGAGCACCACAAGGGGUGAAGCCUGCGGUUCAAUUGGAGUCAACGCCAGAAAUCUUACCCGGAGAGACAGCAGGAUGAAGGUCAAGCUGAAGACUUUACCAGACAAGCUGAGAAGUGGUGCAUGGCCGUCGCCAGCUCGUGCCGUGAGGUGUCCUGUUAAGUCAGGUAACGAGCGAGAUCCUUGCCUCUAGUUGCCACCAUUACUCUCAGGAGUAGUGGGGCGAAUUAGCGGGACUGCCGUAGUUAAUACGGAGGAAGGAGAGGGCCACGGCAGGUCAGUAUGCCCCGAA
rnacentral:rRNA from 1 species